rnacentral:rRNA from 1 species
CCUGCCUUACACAGGGGGAUAACAACCGGAAACGGUUGCUAAAACCGCAUGAAGUAUGAACAUCGCAUGAUGAUCAUAUUAAAUAUUUAUAGGUGUAAGAUGGGCCCGCGUCUGAUUAGCUAGUUGGUGGGGUAAUAGCCUACCAAGGCGAUGAUCAGUAGCCGGCUUGAGAGAGUGACCGGCCACAUUGGGACUGAGACACGGCCCAAACUCCUACGGGAGGCAGCAGUGGGGAAUAUUGCACAAUGGGGGAAACCCUGAUGCAGCGACGCCGCGUGAGUGAAGAAGUAUUUCGGUAUGUAAAGCUCUAUCAGCAGGGAAGAACAUGACGGUACCUGACUAAGAAGCCCCGGCUAACUACGUGCCAGCAGCCGCGGUAAUACGUAGGGGGCAAGCGUUAUCCGGAUUUACUGGGUGUAAAGGGAGCGUAAACGGCGAAGCAAGUCUGAUGUGAAAGGCAGGGGCUCAACUCCUGGACUGCAUUGGAAACUGCAUUGCUUGAGUGCCGGAGAGGUAAGCGGAAUUCCUAGUGUAGCGGUGAAAUGCGCAGAUAUCAGGAGGAACACCGGUGGCGAAAGCGGGUCUCUGGGCAGUAACUGACGCUGAGGAGCGAAAGCAUGGGUAGCGAACAGGAUUAGAUACCCUGGUAGUCCAUGCCGUAAACGGUGGGCGCUA